UGGGGAAUAUUGCACAAUGGGCGAAAGCCUGAUGCAGCAACGCCGCGUGAGUGAUGAAGGCCUUCGGGUUGUAAAGCUCUGUCUUCUGGGACGAUAAUGACGGUACCAGAGGAGGAAGCCACGGCUAACUACGUGCCAGCAGCCGCGGUAGUACGUAGGUGGCAAGCGUUGUCCGGAUUUACUGGGCGUAAAGGAUGCGUAGGCGGAUACUUAAGUCAGAUGUGAAAAUCCCGGGCUUAACUUGGGAACUGCAUUUGAAACUGGGUAUCUAGAGUGCGGGAGAGGAAAGUGGAAUUCCUAGUGUAGCGGUGAAAUGCGUAGAGAUUAGGAAGAACACCAGUGGCGAAGGCGACUUUCUGGACCGUAACUGACGCUGAGGCAUGAAAGCGUGGGGAGCAAACA
rnacentral:rRNA from 1 species